rnacentral:rRNA from 1 species
GACGAACGCUGGCGGCGUGCCUAAUACAUGCAAGUCGAGCGAUGAAGGAGAUACUUGUAUCUUUUGAAGAGCGGCGAACGGGUGAGUAACGCGUGGGGAAUCUGCCAAUGAGUGGGGGACAACAUUUGGAAACGAAUGCUAAUACCGCAUAAAAUCUAUUGAGACAUCUCAAGAGAUUGAAAGGAACAAUUGUUUCGCUCGUUGAUGAUCCCGCGUUGUAUUAGCUAGUUGGUGAGGUAAGGGCUCACCAAGGCGAUGAUACAUAGCCGACCCGAGAUGGUGAUCGACCACAUUGGGACUGAGACACGGCACAAACUCCGACGGGAGGCAGCAGUAGGGAAUCGUCGGCAAUGGACGAAAGUCUAACCGGGCAACGCCGCGUGAGUGAAGAAGGUUUGCGGAUCGUAAAGCUCUGUUGUUGUUAAAGAACGUUGAUGAGAGUGGAAAGUUCAUCAAGUGACGGUAAACAACCAGAAAGGGACGGCUAACUACGUGCCAGCCGCCGCAGUAACAC